GUUUUUUGAGCUUAGAGCAGAGUUUCUCAAGAGCUGCAAUACUGGCAUUUGAGUCAAGUCGUUCUUUAUUGUUGGUGGUGGAGGGGGCACCCUGUAUAUUGUAGGACGUUGGGCAGCAUCUCUGACUUCUACCUACUAGAUGCCAGUAUCUCAGUUUUCUUAAAAGACUUUUUUUUUUUUUUUUUUUUUUUUGAGAUGGAGUCUUGCUGUGUUGCCUAGGCUGGAGUGCAGUGGCACCAUGUCGACUCACUGCAACCUCCGCCUCCCCGGUUCAAGCGAUUCUCCUGCCUCAGCCUCCUGAGUAGCUGGGAUUACAGGUGAGCACCACCAUGCCCAGCUAAUCGUAAAAGACUUUUCAUAAAACUUCAGAACUCCUUAAAAACUAGUGAAUAGCCAAGGUGAAGAAAGCCCUCAGGCUUCUGACUUUAGACCCCAAUCCCUGGGACUCCCACACUCAGCAAAGAAAGCUGGGUGCCUGCACCCUGGAUCUCUGAGCAAACCUGUCUUAUGGCUGUGGGCAACUCAGGAACAUGAAUUAGCACGAGAAUCUGGAGUUUUUCUUUCCUUUUCUGAGAGUUUCAUACGCAGACCUUAAGUAGACAUAGUAUCCAGCUAAAAGACAGGGUCUCACUCUGUCACCCAGGCUGGAGUGCAGUGGCGCAGUCAUGGCUCCCUGUAACCUCAACCUCUCAGACUCCAGCAAUCCUCCUGCGACAGCGAAGUUAAUCUUCUGGUUCGGUUCACAAAGUGCAGGAGAGCCUACCAGCUUGAGAGAAAAGGAGUCAUGCUGUAUUUGUUUCCUUGAGUGAAUGGCCACUCAGCUGCUGUGUUUCUCCCUGCAUGUGGCUGAAGUUUACAUUGGAGGGUGACUUCCUGAUUGCCAGUUAGCAUAUGUGUCCGGCUACCAGCCGCCUGACUGGCUGAGGAUGCUCUUUGUUUGUUCAAGGAUGAACGUUCUCCCCCUGCCUUGCAGGAAGAGGGGAGCAAGGUGCGCCCGGGAGACGCGUGACAGUGCCCUGUAAAGCCAGUAGAGGAAAUCUUGUGGAGUGUGAAUGCACAGGCUUAGAUUCCCCUGUCCCUGAGUCGGGGGCAUGUGCUCGUGGAGAAUGACCCUAUCAAGUUCAAGGUGUGGCAUCUCCUGAUCCAGCAACAGGAUUUGUUCCAGAGAAAAAUCCCCAGGUCUUGGGACUGUUGACAGAUGGCCAUGACUAUGCUUAAUGUGGUCAUCAACUGAGAAUGGUCCGUCUCAUCUUUGAGUAUGCAAUUACCUUUAUAGCUGAUUAUGACACCCUCAGAUCAUAUCAUGAGGUGGACAAGAUGAGUCCAUGGCCCAUGCUGAGAACUGGUACUUCUGUCUUCAUAGACUCACUCACCAACCAGAGAUGUACGACGGACCCCAAAUGGUCUGUCAAAAAUGUGAACUUGCACUAAGACAAGACCCAACAUCAGUGACAUUGGACACAAGAUAGAAAUCAGAGAACAGUUACUGUCCAGCAGUUUUAACCACCAAUACCCAUUUAUUUUAAUGGAAAAAAAAA
rnacentral:lncRNA from 10 species